rnacentral:rRNA from 1 species
AGAGUUUGAUCCUGGCUCAGAUUGAACGCUGGCGGCAGGCCUAACACAUGCAAGUCGAGCGGUAGCACAGAGAGCUUGCUCUCGGGUGACGAGCGGCGGACGGGUGAGUAAUGUCUGGGAAACUGCCUGAUGGAGGGGGAUAACUACUGGAAACGGUAGCUAAUACCGCAUAAUGUCGCAAGACCAAAGUGGGGGACCUUCGGGCCUCAUGCCAUCAGAUGUGCCCAGAUGGGAUUAGCUAGUAGGUGGGGUAACGGCUCACCUAGGCGACGAUCCCUAGCUGGUCUGAGAGGAUGACCAGCCACACUGGAACUGAGACACGGUCCAGACUCCUACGGGAGGCAGCAGUGGGGAAUAUUGCACAAUGGGCGCAAGCCUGAUGCAGCCAUGCCGCGUGUGUGAAGAAGGCCUUCGGGUUGUAAAGCACUUUCAGCGGGGAGGAAGGCGGUGAGGUUAAUAACCUCAUCGAUUGACGUUACCCGCAGAAGAAGCACCGGCUAACUCCGUGCCAGCAGCCGCGGUAAUACGGAGGGUGCAAGCGUUAAUCGGAAUUACUGGGCGUAAAGCGCACGCAGGCGGUCUGUCAAGUCGGAUGUGAAAUCCCCGGGCUCAACCUGGGAACUGCAUUCGAAACUGGCAGGCUAGAGUCUUGUAGAGGGGGGUAGAAUUCCAGGUGUAGCGGUGAAAUGCGUAGAGAUCUGGAGGAAUACCGGUGGCGAAGGCGGCCCCCUGGACAAAGACUGACGCUCAGGUGCGAAAGCGUGGGGAGCAAACAGGAUUAGAUACCCUGGUAGUCCACGCCGUAAACGAUGUCGAUUUGGAGGUUGUGCCCUUGAGGCGUGGCUUCCGGAGCUAACGCGUUAAAUCGACCGCCUGGGGAGUACGGCCGCAAGGUUAAAACUCAAAUGAAUUGACGGGGGCCCGCACAAGCGGUGGAGCAUGUGGUUUAAUUCGAUGCAACGCGAAGAACCUUACCUGGUCUUGACAUCCACAGAACUUUCCAGAGAUGGAUUGGUGCCUUCGGGAACUGUGAGACAGGUGCUGCAUGGCUGUCGUCAGCUCGUGUUGUGAAAUGUUGGGUUAAGUCCCGCAACGAGCGCAACCCUUAUCCUUUGUUGCCAGCGGUUAGGCCGGGAACUCAAAGGAGACUGCCAGUGAUAAACUGGAGGAAGGUGGGGAUGACGUCAAGUCAUCAUGGCCCUUACGACCAGGGCUACACACGUGCUACAAUGGCAUAUACAAAGAGAAGCGACCUCGCGAGAGCAAGCGGACCUCAUAAAGUAUGUCGUAGUCCGGAUUGGAGUCUGCAACUCGACUCCAUGAAGUCGGAAUCGCUAGUAAUCGUAGAUCAGAAUGCUACGGUGAAUACGUUCCCGGGCCUUGUACACACCGCCCGUCACACCAUGGGAGUGGGUUGCAAAAGAAGUAGGUAGCUUAACCUUCGGGAGGGCGCUUACCACUUUGUGAUUCAUGACUGGGGUGAAGUCGUAACAAGGUAACCGUA